rnacentral:rRNA from 1 species
GAUGAACGCUGGCGGCGUGCCUAAUACAUGCAAGUCGAGCGAACAGACGAGGCGCUUGCUGCUCUGACGUUAGCGGCGGACGUGUGAGUAACACGUGUAUAACCCACCUAUAAGACUGAUAUAACUUCGGGACACCGGAGCUAAUACCGUAUAAUAUAUUGAACCGCAUGGUUCAAUAGUGAAAUACGGUUUUGCUGUCUCUUCUAGAUGGUUCCGCGCCGCAUUAGCUAGUUGUUAAGUUAACGGGUUACCAAGGCAACGAUGCGUAGACGAAGUGAGAGGGGGAUAGGCGGCACUGGAACGGAGACACGGACAAGAGGACUACGGGAGGCGGCAGUAGGGAAUGGGCGGCAACGGGGGAAAAUAUGACGGAGCGACGGCGCGCGAGUGAUGAAGGUCUUGGGAUCGUAAAAAUGGGUUACGAGGGAAGAACAAAUGUGGAAGGAAAUAUAGACGGAGUGACGGUAACUAAUAAGAAAGCAACGGCUAACUACGUG